AGAUAACCCCACCAUUUGUCUGCCACGGGGUGGCAUGGAUACUGAGGUGAGGCUCCAGCCCUCACCACCUCAGCAGAGAGCUGCCCUCAGAGUCGUGAGCUUGGGAGAGCGGGCCCUGCCCCUCACCUAGAAGGCACACCAGAGCUGGCCCUGGUGGUACGGGUGCAGGUUAGAGAGGCAACUCUAGGGGAAGCUGAGGCAAUGCCUGGACUGGCUCUGCCUGGGUAUUUCCAUUGGAGGACUAGGAGCUGUGUUGUGAGAUUCUGGACCCUGCUUCCUUGUCAGAGGGGUGUUGCAAGGAUGGACAGUGGAUAUGGAGGAAUGGGGAGCAUAAUGUGAAAUUCACAAAAAAAAUCAAUAAAAAGUUGAAGAAGAAGUGGAGGAGGAAGGAGAAGGAAGGAAGAAGAGGAAGAGGAGGAAGAAGAGAAGGAAAACUAAUCCAGGAAAACACAAACAGUAUGAGUAAAUGAAUAAAUGCCUUAAAGUCAAGAAAACACAAACAAACCAUGGAAGGAAAUGAAUAAAACUGUACAACCCCUGAAAGUGGAAAUAGAAUCAAUGAAGAAAACAUAAACUGAUGGAGUCCUGGGAAUGAGAAAAUUAGGGUUAGAAUAGGAACUCCAGAAGCAAGCUUCACCAACACAGAACAUUCAGGAAACCUGAGACACUAUGAAAAGACUAACCUAAGGAUGAUAGGAAUAGAAGAGGAGGAAGAUUCCCAGUUCGAAGGACCAGAAAAUAUGUUCAAAAAUGUUAUAGAAGAAAAAACUUCCUGACCCAAAGAAAGAGAUGCCCAUAAAGAUACAAGGUGCAUACAGAACACCAAAUAAACUGGGUGAGAAAAGAAAGUCCUAUCAGUACACAACAAUCAAAACACUAAACAUACAGAACAAAGAAAAAAAUAUUAAAAGCCAUAAGAGGAAAAACCAAGUAACAAUAAGGCAGACCAAUUAGAAUUGCACCUGACUACUUAAAGGAUACUCUAAGAAUGGACCCAAGGAGUUGAAGGGGUUUGCAGUGCCACAGGAGGAACAACAAUAUGAGUCACCCAGUACUCCCAGAGCUCCCAGGGACAAAACCAUCAACCAAAGAGUACACAUGGAGUUACCCAUAGACACCAAAGGGAAGAGAGGCCCUUGGUCCUGGAAAGACUUGAUGCAGUAGUGUAGAGGAAUACUAGGACAGGAA